AAAUGCAAAAACCACGUCGUUACCGUAGCGUUUAUAUACGUUUCCGCCGGAGAAUCAGAAGCUGGUUUGAGCUUUUCAAUCGCAUCGAAUUGAGGGAUUUGAUCGGAGAGUGAUGGAUUUCUCUUUACGUUGGAUUCGAAGUCGUACGACAAAGUUGCGGAUGUAUGCGAUAACCUAAUGCUUCAGGUUGCAGUUGAUGGCAUUGCUUACAAGGACGAUUGGCCCUACACCAUUCACCUCCUCGCUCACUAUUAUGUUCACGACAUAACUUUACACAGAGGAGAUGUUUCAGCUGCUUCUCUCUGCUUAUUCAACAAUAAGCAAGCAUUAAAGACAUUGCUUUAUUUAUGGGAAUGAAUGAGGAUGGUGCUACAAAUUAUGUACUACAGCAAGACUGGACUGUCGACCCUGCCUCUCUGAUGCUUAUUGUAAAAGAAGCAACCUCAAGUGACCGAGCAGAAACUUUGAUCAUAGUAAAUUGCAGCGAUUGAAAGAAUGUGUCUUCCAUCUUGAGCAUUGAAGCUCUUAGUUACGAAGAAUUAGAUGUUUAGUUUUAUACGAAAUUCUUUUCAAAUUGAUCAAUCAAACAUUCUAUGUUCUUUAUAGUGAAUGUAUAUUGUUGAUAAUUUUGUAGCCAACCUGUAUGCGUUUGAACUUUAGCACCGAUUGGUGAAAUUCACGUUUCACUUGAUAGCUAUUCGACAAUUAUCUAUCAGUCUCUCUUAUGCGAUAGUGGAACGGUUUAAACUUUGCAUAUUAAACUUGUUAA